rnacentral:lncRNA from 1 species
UUGGUACACGGAUGACAUCUUUCUGCCUGAAGAGAAUGUCAUAAUCCCUGUGUUUCUGAUAUGAAUUUUGUGGGGUAUAAAUAAACUCUUCGUUCCUUGAGGGACACCCUUCUAUUUUGUGCUGACUUUCUCCACCUGGCCAGAGAAAUGUAGUUAAAGACACACAAGAACAGCAGGACAUCCUGAGGAUGUGCUGCAUGACUGAGGAGGUGCCCCAGAAGCUGCUUCUCUCGGCUGUGGAAGUCUGAUCACAAUUUCUCUGUGUUUUGGGGUAUGUGAAUGUCCAAUAUAACUGUGUUCCAGAGAGUUAUGUGGCUAUAAAAAGAAGUAAGAGUGACACCUGGGUAUAUUCUGUGAAAAUGCUUCCAAUAGAGAUAAGUAAG